GACGAACGCUGGCGGCGUGCUUAACACAUGCAAGUCGAACGGAAAGGCCCUGCUUUUGUGGGGUGCUCGAGUGGCGAACGGGUGAGUAACACGUGAGUAACCUGCCCUUGACUUUGGGAUAACUUCAGGAAACAGGGGCUAAUACCGGAUAGGAGCUCCUGCUGCAUGGUGGGGGUUGGAAAGUUUCGGCGGUUGGGGAUGGACUCGCGGCUUAUCAGCUUGUUGGUGGGGUAGUGGCUUAUCAAGGCUUUGACGGGUAGCCGGCCUGAGAGGGUGACCGGCCACAUUGGGACUGAGAUACGGCCCAGACUCCUACGGGAGGCAGCAGUGGGGAAUAUUGCACAAUGGGCGGAAGCCUGAUGCAGCAACGCCGCGUGCGGGAUGACGGCCUUCGGGUUGUAAACCGCUUUCGCCUGUGACGAAGCGUGAGUGACGGUAAUGGGUAAAGAAGCACCGGCUAACUACGUG
rnacentral:rRNA from 1 species